UAGCGUAGGGGGCAAGCGUUGUCCGGAUUUCAUUGGGCGUAAAAGAGCGUGUAGGCGGCCAGGUAGGUCGGUUGUGAAAACUGGAGGCUCAACCUUCAGACGUCGACCGAAACCAUCUGGCUAGAGUCCGGGAGAGGAGAGUGGAAUUCCUGGUGUAGCGGUGAAAUGCGCAGAUAUCAGGAAGAACACCGUGGCGAAGGCGGCUCUCUGGACGGUACUGACGCUGAGACGCGAAAGCGUGGGAGCGAACAGG
rnacentral:rRNA from 1 species